CAAGGCCUUGUAACUGUAUACCAGCCUUUGUUGGACCUUCGACAGCCCUGCAGUAAGAGAUUGUGCCCAGCUAAUCUUCCUCAAUUUCUCUGUCAAUUUUUUAUAUGGUUAACCAUAAUUUUUUUUUCUUCCUAUGUGAUAGUAAGUAACUGAAAUCAUCGAAGUAUUCCUUUACCUUAUUACCAACAACUCAUAAGUAACCUGUAACCUGUAUAACAAAUCCCCUUUC
rnacentral:lncRNA from 1 species